rnacentral:rRNA from 1 species
UAUUGGAAACGAUAGCUAAUACCGCAUAAUGUCUUCGGAGCAAAGAGGGGGACCUUCGGGCCUCUCGCGUCAAGAUUAGCCCAGGUGGGAUUAGCUAGUUGGUGAGGUAAUGGCUCACCAAGGCAACGAUCCCUAGCUGGUCUGAGAGGAUGAUCAGCCACACUGGAACUGAGACACGGUCCAGACUCCUACGGGAGGCAGCAGUGGGGAAUAUUGCACAAUGGGCGCAAGCCUGAUGCAGCCAUGCCGCGUGUGUGAAGAAGGCCUUCGGGUUGUAAAGCACUUUCAGUCGUGAGGAAGGUAUCGUAGUUAAUAGCUGCGUUAUUUGACGUUAGCGACAGAAGAAGCACCGGCUAACUCCGUGCCAGCAGCCGCGGUAAUACGGAGGGUGCGAGCGUUAAUCGGAAUUACUGGGCGUAAAGCGCAUGCAGGUGGAUGAUUAAGUCAGAUGUGAAAGCCCGGGGCUCAACCUCGGAACAGCAUUUGAAACUGGUCAUCUAGAGUACUGUAGAGGGG